rnacentral:rRNA from 1 species
UACAGAGGUCUCAAGCGUUGUUCGGAUUCAUUGGGCGUAAAGGGUGCGUAGGCGGCGCGGUAAGUCGGGUGUGAAAUCUCGGAGCUUAACUCCGAAACUGCAUUCGAUACUGCCGUGCUUGAGGACUGGAGAGGAGACUGGAAUUUACGGUGUAGCGGUGAAAUGCGUAGAUAUCGGGAGGAACACCAGUGGCGAAGGCGGCUUCCUGGCCUGUUUCUUGACGCUGAGGCGGCGAAAGCUAGGGGAGCAAACGGGG